rnacentral:rRNA from 1 species
UACGGAGGGUGCGAGCGUUGUUCGGAAUCAUUGGGCGUAAAGGGCGUGUAGGCGGUCUGUUAAGUCAUGUGUGAAAUCCCUCGGCUCAACCGGGGAACGACGCAUGAAACUGACAAGCUAGAGUACCAAAGAGGGGGUGGAAUUCCCGGUGUAGCGGUGAAAUGCGUAGAUAUCGUAAGGAAGACCAGUGGCGAAGGCGGGUCUCUGGACAGUUCCUGACGCUGAGGCACGAAGGCCAGGGGAGCAAACGGG